rnacentral:rRNA from 1 species
UGGGGAAUAUUGCACAAUGGGGGAAACCCUGAUGCAGCGACGCCGCGUGAAGGAAGAAGUAUUUCGGUAUGUAAACUUCUAUCAGCAGGGAAGAAAAUGACGGUACCUGACUAAGAAGCCCCGGCUAACUACGUGCC